rnacentral:rRNA from 1 species
UCUGAAUCUGCGAACGGCUCCGCAUACCAGUUGUAACCUAUAGCUAGUCAGUCUUGAGCGGGAUUUUCGGGUCCCGCUCUUGACUAUACAUGGAUAACCGUGGUAAUUCUGAGGCUAAUACAAGAACGUAAGACCUGGUCGACCGCGUAAGUGGAAGGCUGGGGGUUGUGUGGCUAUCCUGCAACACAACUUACCGGAGCAGAACACAUGAUCAGACCACCAUACCAAACGGCCUUGGGAGCGGGAAACCUUCGGGUAGUACCAAACCCUCGAUCGGGUGGCUCUAGUUAUGCGCUUCUGACCUAUCAACUAGAUGGCAGCGUAAAAGACAUGCUAUGGU